rnacentral:lncRNA from 1 species
GGUAUCAAGAACUUUAUUGCACGAACUAUGUUAAUAAAGCAAAUGAAACUAACAAUGUUGAUAUACCGUUAGUUCAUUGUAUUGGUUGAUUGUUGCUUUUUUAAUGAAAACAGGCAGUUAAUUAUUACAUAUUCAGGAUGAGAACAAAUUAAUACCAGUAUUACCAAAUACUUUAUUAAAGAUUCUGCAAGGUAAGUCGGCCGAGAGGAAGAGCCGUUUAAAACUGGCACUGCAAAAUGCUUAUGGGUGUGAUGUUUCUUAACGUAGAGAAUGUGGUACACUCCCUAUACCAGACAUGUAUCAGGCUUUGAUUCCCUAUUUCGACGUAUCUGCAUAAUCCUACAUACCACACAAUCAAACAGACGCCGCCCUUCUGGUUUCGGAACGGAUGGAGUCCGGACA